UUGAACUGAAGAGUUUGAUCCUGGCUCAGAUUGAACGCUGGCGGCAUGCCUUACACAUGCAAGUCGAACGGCAGCGCGGAGAGCUUGCUCUCUGGCGGCGAGUGGCGAACGGGUGAGUAAUACAUCGGAACGUGCCCUGUAGUGGGGGAUAGCUCGGCGAAAGCCGGAUUAAUACCGCAUAAGCUCUACGGAGGAAAGCGGGGGACCGCAAGGCCUCGUGCUAUAGGAGCGGCCGAUGGCAGAUUAGCUAGUUGGUGAGGUAAAGGCUCACCAAGGCGACGAUCUGUAGCUGGUCUGAGAGGACGACCAGCCACACUGGGACUGAGACACGGCCCAGACUCCUACGGGAGGCAGCAGUGGGGAAUUUUGGACAAUGGGCGAAAGCCUGAUCCAGCAAUGCCGCGUGUGUGAAGAAGGCCUUCGGGUUGUAAAGCACUUUUGUCCGGGAAGAAAGUAUUUGUGCUAAUACCAUGGAUAGAUGACGGUACCGGAAGAAUAAGCACCGGCUAACUACGUGCCAGCAGCCGCGGUAAUACGUAGGGUGCGAGCGUUAAUCGGAAUUACUGGGCGUAAAGCGUGCGCAGGCGGUUUUGUAAG
rnacentral:rRNA from 1 species